GAGGGGCUAUUUCUUUUGAAUACUAGCUUUGGGAGCUAGCGGUCCCUUUUAGAAGGGGCCCUUCA
rnacentral:tRNA from 1 species